ACGUCAUCAUAGGCUGAUUAACAUUCAUGCGCUGAAACCAGUGUGAGGAAUAUUUAAGCUUUCUAGUCCUUGGUUGCACAUGAUCAAGUUGGUCAAAGCAGAUACAUGGACUGAAAAGAAUAGAAGGAUGGUUUGUUUUUGUGUAAGGAGCUGGUGCGGUGCAUGCCUGUCUUUGGCCGUGAGGUCAUCCUUCCAUCUCUUGGUGCAGCACUAUGAUUGUGGCAUUGAACUCUGGCUCGUUUCAAAAUGAUCUCCUCACAUCUGUGCUUCUCAAAGUGCAUGUUCCUGCCCAAAGAACUGAUAUGUAAGUUGGAUAAUAAAUAGGUGGAUUUUGCAAGACAGCAUGAAUGUUUUGAAACCUUCA